CUACGGGAGGCUGCAGUGAGGAAUAUUGCACAAUGGAGGAAACUCUGAUGCAGCAACGCCGCGUGGAGGAUGACGCAUUUCGGUGUGUAAACUCCUUUUAUAUGUCAAGAAAAUGACGGUAGCAUAUGAAUAAGCACCGGCUAACUCCGUGCCAGCAGCCGCGGUAAUACGGAGGGUGCAAGGGUUACUCGGAAUCACUGGGCGUAAAGGACGCGUAGGCGGGAUAUCAAGUCAGGUGUGAAAGCCUACAGCUUAACUGUAGAACUGCACUUGGAACUGGUAACCUAGAGUAUGGGAGGGGGAGAUGGAAUUAGUGGUGUAGGGGUAAAAUCCGUAGAUAUCACUAGGAAUACCUAAAGCGAAGGCGAUCUCCUGGAACAUAACUGACGCUAAGGCGUGAAAGCGUGGGGAGCAAACAGGAUUAGAUACCCGAGUAGUC
rnacentral:rRNA from 1 species